rnacentral:rRNA from 1 species
UGGGGGGAUAUUGCACAAUGGAGGAAACUCUGAUGCAGCAACGCCGCGUGAAGGAUGAAGGUCUUCGGAUUGUAAACUUUUGUACUUGGGGACGAUAAUGACGGUACCCAAGCAGCAAGCUCCGGCUAACUACGUGCCAGCAGCCGCGGUAAUACGUAGGGAGCAAGCGUUGUCCGGAUUUACUGGGUGUAAAGGGUGCGUAGGCGGCUAUGCAAGUCAGUUGUGAAAACUAUGGGCUCAACCCAUAGCCUGCAAUUGAAACUGCGUGGCUUGAGUGAAGUAGAGGUAGGUGGAAUUCCCGGUGUAGCGGUGAAAUGCGUAGAGAUCGGGAGGAACACCAGUGGCGAAGGC